AGGAGUAAUUGGGGCAAUGGACGAAAGUCUGACCGAGCAACGCCGCGUGAGUGAAGAAGGUUUUCGGAUCGUAAAACUCUGUUGUUAGAGAAGAACAAGGACGUUAGUAACUGAACGUCCCCUGACGGUAUCUAACCAGAAAGCCACGGCUAACUACGUGCCAGCAGCCGCGGUAAUACGUAGGUGGCAAGCGUUGUCCGGAUUUAUUGGGCGUAAAGCGAGCGCAGGCGGUUUCUUAAGUCUGAUGUGAAAGCCCCCGGCUCAACCGGGGAGGGUCAUUGGAAACUGGGAGACUUGAGUGCAGAAGAGGAGAGUGGAAUUCCAUGUGUAGCGGUGAAAUGCGUAGAUAUAUGGAGGAACACCAGUGGCGAAGGCGGCUCUCUGGUCUGUAACUGACGCUGAGGCUCGAAAGCGUGGGGAGCAAACAGGAUUAGAUACCCUGGUAGUCCCAA
rnacentral:rRNA from 1 species